CAGAAAGAAAUCAUCAGGGGAAGCAAUAGCAUCUCCAACUACAUAACAAGCUAAAAUGUAGCUACAUCAGAUGGGAAGGGAGUUCAGUAGACUUGUGGAUGCUGAACUGCAUGCAACCAGGUAACAAGAAAGAAGAGAGUGAAGGGAGCAUACUACUCCAAUUAAGAAAACUUUCUGUAAGUUGGAAAUGCAUAAACUUCUAUUUAAAUUUCGUAAGUCAGAACUGAUUCACACUAAGGUUUAGUAUUCAAUGAAGUUUAGUAUUCCAGGUAGGCAAGUGCCAAAAUCAGACAUCAAUAUACCUCUUUCUUUAGGAAGAAAAAAUCCCAAGAGAUAAUCAG
rnacentral:lncRNA from 1 species